rnacentral:lncRNA from 1 species
AUGGCUUAAAGGCAGGCUUUUGUAAGAGACUUGUCUCCAUGCUAUGGGAGGACUUCAGACAUCAGUGAAUUUCUUUCCUGUGUAACUGAGAAAGGACAAGAAGGAGGAAAAGCCUCACAGCUCUAAAGGCUUGUCCAUACCUCACUAAACCACACUUUGUGUUACAUAUGUAGAAAACAAGAAACUGAGCUAUGAGAAUCAUCUGGAAAAAACUGUAAGAAGAUUAUUUUCUGCAAAUCCCCUGACAGAAAUCAAGAAGCCUUGGAAACAUACAAAAGCAUCUGUUUACAUCAGCUUCCCAGCUAUAACCCGGGUAGAUAAAUCAUUAAAAUCAAGGUAAGUACUGGGACAUUUUGAUAUCCGUCCAUUCCUUACACCCUCUCUAUUAAACUACUUUGCAGUUUCUUUGCCUGCUUUAGCCUGUUUUGCUUCUGGGCUUCCCUCCAG